GUGUCACCGGUCACCAGAGGAGCGCCUCCUCCCUCUGAGCACCCUAGCAACCUUGGUUUUCCACGAUUUGGCCGGAAAACCACGGAUCGAAGCCAAAACCCCACCGGCUGCAGUUUGGAACUUUUGCCGAUUUCCGGCGAUUCCGGCCACCUCCGGUCCCCAUUUUUCCGUCGAAGGGCAAUGUCGCGAGCUACGGUUAGAUGAAGGAACUCGUUUGCGUGGUUGCCAAUAGUACUAUUUAG
rnacentral:lncRNA from 1 species